UGAUUGGAGGCCUUCCUAGCUAACAGAGCAAAGAGUUUGGAAUAGUUCACCAGUGAAGUCAUCUCAACCAGCACAGGGCCUUGACUCCUAACAACAAUCACACGAACUUGGAAGAGGAGCCUUCCCCAGCUGAACCUUCACUUGAGACCUCAUCCUUGGCCAUCAUCUACAUCUGGAUUCAUGAUACAGAGAAACCUGAGUACUGAUGACACUAGCAGUCCAGCCUGCAUGGAUGCUGACAUGGAUGCUGUCUCCCAUUCUUACCACUGGAUGUGAAGAAAUGCUAGAUGCAAUCCAUCCAAUCUGUACUCGACUCUCAAUUGCAUCUUCUCAACUCACAGUGACUUCCAAAGUCCAUGACACACCACAGCCUGGAACAUCUCCCAAGGCUUUGAAUAACUCACCAGUGAAGUCAUCUUGACCUGGACAGAAAUUGAAUCCUCCCAAGAAUCCCAGGAGCUUGGAAGGGGAUCCUUCCCCAGAUGAGCCUUCCCUUGAAAUCUCUGCCAGGCAUCUGACCCAGAGAAACUGCCACACCACUUUACAGAGGAACACCAGGGAUGUUCCAGGAACCAUGCCCACAAAGCUUACUAAGCCAUGGGACUGCAUACUACACUCCCAAGGACAUCCACAAAGUCAAGACUCUUGCGUUUUCAGACUGUGAUC
rnacentral:lncRNA from 1 species